rnacentral:rRNA from 1 species
GAGUUUGAUCAUGGCUCAGAUUGAACGCUGGCGGCAUGCCUUACACAUGCAAGUCGAACGGCAGCAUGAUCUAGCUUGCUAGAUUGAUGGCGAGUGGCGAACGGGUGAGUAAUACAUCGGAACGUGCCCUGUAGUGGGGGAUAACUAGUCGAAAGAUUAGCUAAUACCGCAUACGACCUGAGGGUGAAAGUGGGGGACCGCAAGGCCUCAUGCUAUAGGAGCGGCCGAUGUCUGAUUAGCUAGUUGGCGGGGUAAAGGCCCACCAAGGCGACGAUCAGUAGCUGGUCUGAGAGGACGAUCAGCCACACUGGGACUGAGACACGGCCCAGACUCCUACGGGAGGCAGCAGUGGGGAAUUUUGGACAAUGGGCGAAAGCCUGAUCCAGCAAUGCCGCGUGUGUGAAGAAGGCCU